GCGAAUUGUGAGCUCAGGAUAC
rnacentral:miRNA from 1 species